GUAGGGAAUCUUCCACAAUGGACGAAAGUCUGAUGGAGCAACGCCGCGUGAGUGAAGAAGGUCUUCGGAUCGUAAAACUCUGUUGUUAGAGAAGAACGUGCAUGAUAGUAACUGAUCAUGUAAUGACGGUAUCUAACCAGAAAGCCACGGCUAACUACGUGCCAGCAGCCGCGGUAAUACGUAGGUGGCAAGCGUUGUCCGUAUUUAUUGGGCGUAAAGGGAACUCAGGCGGGUUUUUAAGUCUGAUGUGAAAGACUUCGGAUUAACCGAAGAAGAGCAUUGGAAACUGGAAGACUUGAGUGCAGAAGAGGAGAGUGGAAUUCCAUGUGUAGCGGUGAAAUGCGUAGAUAUAUGGAGGAACACCAGUGGCGAAAGCGGCUCUCUGGUCUGUAACUGACGCUGAGGUUCGAAAGCGUGGGUAGCAAACAGGAUUAGAAACCCUGGUAGUCC
rnacentral:rRNA from 1 species